rnacentral:rRNA from 1 species
GACGAACCGUACGAACGUUAUUCGGAAUUACUGGGCUUAAAGGGUGCGUAGGCGGCGCAGUAAGUUGGGUGUGAAAUCCCUCGCUUAACCGAGGAAUUGCGCCCAAAACUACUGUGCUCGAGAGAGAUAGAGGUGAGCGGAACUUAGGGUGGAGCGGUGAAAUGCGUUGAUAUCCUAAGGAACACCGGUGGCGAAAGCGGCUCACUGGAUCUCUUCUGACGCUGAGGCACGAAAGCUAGGGUAGCAAACGGG